AUACUGACGACAACUCCUUCUCUC
rnacentral:siRNA from 1 species